rnacentral:rRNA from 1 species
AGUGAACGCUGGCGGUAGGCCUAACACAUGCAAGUCGAACGGCAGCACAGGAGAGCUUGCUCUCUGGGUGGCGAGUGGCGGACGGGUGAGGAAUACAUCGGAAUCUACUCUGUCGUGGGGGAUAACGUAGGGAAACUUACGCUGAUACCGCAUACGACCUACGGGUGAAAGCAGGGGACCUUCGGGCCUUGCGCGAUUGAAUGAGCCGAUGUCGGAUUAGCUAGUUGGCGGGGUAAGGGCCCACCAAGGCGACGAUCCGUAGCUGGUCUGAGGGGAUGAUCAGCCACACUGGAACUGAGACACGGUCCAGACUCCGACGGGAGGCAGCAGUGGGGAAUAUUGGACAAUGGGCGCAAGCCUGAUCCAGCCAUACCGCGUGGGUGAAGAAGGCCUUCGGGUUGUAAAGCCCUUUUGUUGGGAAAGAAAUCCAGCUGGCUAAUACCCGGUUGGGAUGACGGUACCCAAAGAAUAAGCACCGGCUAACUUCGUGCCAGCCGCCGCCGUAA